UCUCAAAGAUUAAGCCAUGCAUGUCUAAGUAUAAGCAAUCUAUACCGUGAAACUGCGAAUGGCUCAUUAAAUCAGUUAUCGUUUAUUUGAUAGUACCUUUACUUGGAUAACUGUGGUAAUUCUAGAGCUAAUACAUGCUAAAAACCUCGACUUCGGAAGGGGUGUAUUUAUUAGAUAAAAAACCAAUGCCCUUCGGGGCUCCUUGGUGAUUCAUAAUAACUUAACGAAUCGCAUGGCCUUGCGCCGGCGAUGGUUCAUUCAAAUUUCUGCCCUAUCAACUUUCGAUGGUAAGAUAGUGGCUUACCAUGGUCUUAACGGGUAACGGGGAAUUAGGGUUCUAUUCCGGAGAGGGAGCCUGAGAAACGGCUACCNCAUCCAAGGAAGGCAGCAGGCGCGCAAAUUACCCAAUCCCAAUACGGGGAGGUAGUGACAAUAAAUACUGAUACAGGGCUCUUUUGGGUCUUGUAAUUGGAAUGAGUACAAUUUAAAUCCCUUAACGAGGAACAAUUGGAGGGCAAGUCUGGUGCCAGCAGCCGCGGUAAUUCCAGCUCCAAUAGCGUAUAUUAAAGUUGUUGCAGUUAAAAAGCUCGUAGUUGAAC
rnacentral:rRNA from 1 species